ensembl:lincRNA
AAAUAAUUUACUUCAGCCAAUAGAGAAUGUGCUCUUCCUGAAGUGAAAGGACUUUUCUUCCAGAACUGAAGAGUCGCAUCGGAUUCAUCAGCUCCAGAGGGAAGAGGUGGCUGUGAUCCUGCUGGAGUCGGAGCAGCUCCAAUGGACACUCACAGAGAGAAGAAGGCUGAGACUGCGUGCAAACGAAGACUGGACUUACUCCUUGAGUGCAAAACACACAACAAAUGCUGAAGGCACUUCAAGCACUCGUGGUGCAAAGAUCGGGCAGAAAAAUUCAGAUGCAUCCUCACAAAAAUUAUGGCAGCAGCAAGUAAGAAGAUAAUGAUCCUGAGAAUCAGCACCCAAGACCAGCGGUCAGUCCAGCAGGAAAGAGAUAAAGGUGGCAUGGGACAAGCGCCACCCUCACCUCUGGGGACCAUCCCCCAGACACCAAGCAGGAAGACGAAGCUCAGGUCACAUUCAUCAUGGCUGAACUCCAGGUCACCUGUGGUGCAGAGAAAGUGGCUGGCUCAGAUGUCCAGGCCUGUGAGUAGGAACAAUGAUGGGACUUUCUCUGAAGCUUGCAUUGCACUUAUCCGCAGCGGGGAAGGGGUUGCGGAAUGACCUCUCUCCUUGUGAACUCCAGCAGAGCAGUUUUUCUGUGUGUUCGUUUUCUAUUUUUCUUGGUAUUGUUUUCUAAUUUUACAAAUUGAAAAUGAUAUAUGACCAAGUUUACUCUUCUCUCCUUGGAGACUGAAUAAUUUUUCAAAUCUUGACUGACCAUCUUCUCUUUCUCAUGGACGAAUCGUCCCUUCCUGGGUUUAGAAGUGCAGUGUUGUGUUGAGCAUAUGGACAUGACUGUGAGUCCCUGGCCGUCUUCUGUUUCUCGUGGAGGAAUUGUCUCUCCCUGUCUUUAGUACUGCAGUGCUGUGUUGAGCAGACAGUCAUGGCUGUGAGUCUCUGGGCUUGUGCCCUGGCCCAGUCAUUGCCUAGGCAACUCCCUCCCCACGGGCACCUGGCCUCUCUCCACUUUACUUUCUGAACCUGUAAAAUGGGUAGGAGGAUGGAGGAUGGUAGGUCCUACCUCAUAGAGCUCGCGAGAGGAUUGGUACAGAUGAAAGCACUCGGAACACUGGCUGCAAUAUGAUAGGUCCUCAUCCAAUGUUAAUUACCAUUAUAAUUAUAAGCGUCUUUUAAAAGUAUUUGUCAUAAUACCUUUUUAUGUGGAUGGAAAGAGUGAUAUAAAUUUUCACUGUCAUGAUGUGAACAGAACCUGGAGCACGCUUGGGUGGAGCCUGGAACUUUGGGUUAUUGAAGAGCCUGCUAGCACUAGUUCUAACAGCUGAGAUAUAGAAUCAGUCCAGGUGUCCAAUAAUACAUGAAUGGAUGAAGUAUCCAUGGAGAUACAUGAAUUGAAAAUGUAUAUACACAUACACUUUAAAAUUUGUGUAUACACAAUGGAAUACUAUUCAGCCAUAAAAAGAAUGAAAUCCUGUCAUUCAUGGCAAAAUGGUUGGAACUGGAGGACACCGUGUUCAGUAAAACGAGCCAGGAACACGAAGUUAAACGCCUCAUGUUCUCACUUAUUCGUGGAAGCUUAAAAAUGCUGAUCUCAUAGAAGUAAAAGGUAGAACAGAAGAUCCUAGAGGCUGGGAAGGAUUGGAGAAAGGGAGAGAUAGGGAGAGAUUUGUUAAAGAAUACAAAAUUACAGCUAGACAAGAGGAAUAAUUUCUAGUGUUCUAUACCACUGUAGGAUGACUACAGUUAACAAUAAUAUAUAGUUUUAAAUAACUAUAGGGAGGAUAUUGACAAGGAAAUAAUAAGUAUUUGAGAUGAUGGAGAUGCAAAUCACCCUGAUCUGAUCACUGUAAAACUUAUGUAUUAAAAUAUCCCUGUUUACCCCCAUGAAGGUGUACAAUUAUUAUGUGUCCAUGAAACAUAAAUAAAGUAAAUUUUUAAGACUCCA